AGCGGCGACGUGGGCGGUCCGCUGCCCGCGACGUUGUGAGAAGUCCACUGAACCUUAUCAUUUAGAGGAAGGAGAAGUCGUAACAAGGUUUCCGUAGGUGAACCUGCGGAAGGAUCAUUG
rnacentral:rRNA from 1 species